rnacentral:rRNA from 1 species
UACGUAGGGUGCGAGCGUUACUCGGAAUGAUUGGGCGUAAAGGGUGCGUAGGCGGUUUGCUAAGACGGAUGUGAAAUCCCUGGGCUCAACCUAGGAACAGCAUACGUGACUGGCAGGCUAGAGUAUCGAAGAGGGGGGUAGAAUUCCACGUGUAGCAGUGAAAUGCGUAGAGAUGUGGAGGAAUACCGAUGGCGAAGGCAGCCCCCUGGUCAGAUACUGACGCUGAGGCACGAAAGCGUGGGGAGCAAACAGG